rnacentral:rRNA from 1 species
GGAAGGGAUGUAUUUAUUAGAUUAAAAACCAAUGUGGCUUCGCGGCCGCUUCUCCUCUUGGUGAUUCAUAAUAACUUUUCGAAUCGCAUGGCCUUUCAAAUUGUGCCGGCGAUGUUUCAUUCAAAUUUCUGCCCUAUCAACUGUCGAUGGUAAGGUAGCGGCUUACCAUGGUUGCAACGGGUGACGGAGAAUUAGGGUUCGAUUCCGGAGAGGGAGCCUGAGAAACGGCUACCACAUCCAAGGAAGGCAGCAGGUGCGCAAAUUACCCAAUCCUGACGUGGGGGAGGUAGUGACAAAAAAUAACAAUACAGGGCUUUUUCGUAGUCUUGUAAUUGGAAUGAGUACAAUUUAAAUGCCUUAACGAGGACCAAUUGGAGGGCAAGUCUGGUUCCAGCAGCCGCGGUAAUUCCAGCUCCAAUAGCGUAUUGUAAAGUUGUUGCAGUUAAAAAGCUCGUAGUUGGAUUUCGGGCUCGACUCCGACGGUCAGCCGCAAGGUAUGUCACUGUCGGCGUCGGCCUUCCUCGCGCAGACUUCGCGUGCUCUUAACUGAGUGUGCGUUGGAUACGCGACGUUUAC